AGCGGGASSCCMMCACAUGCARGCGAGCGGUAUUGUUUCUYUCGGAAAUGAGAGAGCGCGCGUACGACGUGCGGAACACGUSUGCAACCUGCCCUUUAUCUGGKGGGAUAGCCUYUCUGAAMAGGAAGAUUAAUACUCCAUAAUAUAUUGAYCGGCAUCARUUAAUAYUGGVVVGCUCCCGGCGGAUAGAGAUGGGCACGCGCAAGAUUAGCUAGUUGGUCGAGGUAACGGCUCACCAAGGCRAUGAUCUUUAGGGGGCCUNRAGAGGGUGCAUCCCCCACACUGGUACUGAGCACACGGACCAGACUCCUACGGGAGGCAGCASUGAGGACAUAUUGGYCAAUGGGUGCAAGCCUGAACCAGCCAUCCCGCGUGAAGGACGACUGCCCUAUGGGUUGUAAACUUCUUUKUGUAUAGGGAUAAACCUACCCUCGUGAGGGUAGCUGAAGGUACUAUACGRAUAAGCACCGGCUAACUCCGUGCCAGCAGCCGCGGUAAUACGGGGGGGUGCAAGCGUUAUCCGGAUUUMUUGGGUUUAAAGGGUCCSUAGGCGGACUUAUAAGUCAGUGGUGAAAGCCUBUCGCUUAACGAUAGAACYCC
rnacentral:rRNA from 1 species